GAUGAACGCUAGCGGCAGGCUUAAUACAUGCAAGUCGAGGGGCAUCAAGGUACACGAAAGUGUAUUGUUGGCGACCGGCGGACGGGUGAGUAAUAGGUAGGUAACCUACCUCAUACUGAGGCAUAGCUGGGAGAAAUUCCAGGUAAUUCCUCAUGAGGUUAUAUGACACAUGUGAUAUAAUCAAAGGUAUCGCAAGGUACUGGUAUGAGAUGGGCUUACUGACCAUUAGCUAGUUGGUGAGAUAAGAGCUCACCAAGGCGAAGAUGGUUAGGGGUUUUGAGAGAGAGACUCCCCCACAUUGGAACUGAGAUACGGUCCAGACUCCUACGGGAGGCAGCAGUAGGGAAUAUUGGGCAAUGGGCGGAAGCCUGACCCAGCCAUGCCGCGUGAAGGAAGACGGCCUUAUGGGUUGUAAACUUCUUUACUAUGCGACUAACUAGAUUUACGAGAUAAUUCUAUAGAAUGUAGCAUAGCAAAAGCACCGGU
rnacentral:rRNA from 1 species